CAUGCUCAUAGCCUCACCUGGCUGGCAACUACGGUCCCUCCUGUACUCAGCAGCCUCACCUGGCUGGCAGCUAUGGGUCCUUCUGUGCUCACAGCCACCUGUCUCUCCUGGGGAACUUCUGUCUUUUCUCCUCCAGGGUGGGGUGAGAAAGACCUGCCUGGGUCCCUGCAAGGCACUGGGCCCCAGCACGGAAAUGAAGACGAGAGGCAGGUCACCCUGCAGCAGCCAGGUAAAGAAACAGGCUCAGAGAGAUGGGGUGCUUUACCAACAGUCACACAGCUGAGAACUGGAAAGGCCGGAACCCCCAACCCAGAGCUGCUGCCUCCGGGCUGUCUGCCUGGGCUCGCUCUCUGCUCUCCGCCUCGGCUGCUGUCCCCAGGUGCCUGCUGAAAUCUCACCUGGUGUUUGCCAGAAUUCUCACGGAAGGUGGCGUGUUUAUAGGUGGGAGAUGCCUGAGUCGAUCAUCAGCAACCGAAGAAUCCAGCAAGUUAGCAGGACCUGCAAUUAAUAUGCAGAGAUGAGAAGAAACCGACAUGCAUGCUAUGUAUGUAAGGAAAAACACGCCAUCAGAGAGAUGCCAGUGGACCCUAAUUCAGUCUAUAAAUGAUACAUAAUAAAGUACUAAUAGGAUUCGUUUUGAAGUAGACAAGUUGACUCUAAAAGUUCAAAAGCAAAAACAGUCAGUGCAUUAAAAAAAGGAAAAGGAAGAAAACAAUAAGAAAGUCCAACUAGCCUUAGCAAUUAUUAAGACAAAACUCCAGAGCUACAAUAACUAGAACAGCAUGGCACAGGAUGACAACUGUGGGAGGCCUCGAACACGGAUGGGAGUGUGUAAUAUAAUUAAGGAGUUACUACAAAUGGAUGGAUAAUUUAAUAAAUGGGAUGGGGACAACUGGAUAGCCCCAAGAAAAGAAUCAAGUUGGCUCCUAUGUCACAUAAAACAAAAAUGUAUGAUGGUUCAUAUUUAAAGAUGAAAAAUGACGCAUAAAAUCACCAGGCUCAACCAUGGGAAAUAUUUUGUAGAAUCUCAAACCAAAGAAGUCCCUUCUAAGGAUGAGUCAAACACCAGAGGCCAUGACAGAAACUGCAACUACAUCAAAGUGAAAAAUAUUUGCACAGCACACCAAGUGAAAAAGCAGCUGGCGAAGGAGCGGGGGUAAGGACACACCCAUAAAAUGUGACGCUCUGAAGGUAUUGAAAAAACCAGGACAUACCUCGUGCCAGAAUGCUAUUUGCCAGACACUGAGGGAAAAAGCAACAGCAAAAAUAAUACGCUGUCAUUUUUGCGAAGGACAGAGGGCAGGAGAGGAGACGGUGGACGGACA